CAUGCAAGUCGAGGGGCAGCGAAGAGGUAGCAAUACCUCUGUCGGCGACCGGCGCACGGGUGAGUAACACGUAUGCAAUCCACCUGUAACAGGGGGAUAACCCGGAGAAAUCCGGACUAAUACCCCAUAAUAUGGGCGCUCCGCAUGGAGAGUCCAUUAAAGAGAGCAAUUUUGGUUACAGACGAGCAUGCGCUCCAUUAGCCAGUUGGCGGGGUAACGGCCCACCAAAGCGACGAUGGAUAGGGGUUCUGAGAGGAAGGUCCCCCACAUUGGAACUGAGACACGGUCCAAACUCCUACGGGAGGCAGCAGUGAGGAAUAUUGGUCAAUGGUCGGCAGACUGAACCAGCCAAGUCGCGUGAGGGAAGACGGCCCUACGGGUUGUAAACCUCUUUUGUCGGAGAGUAAAGUACGCUACGUGUAGCGUAUUGCAAGUAUCCGAAGAAAAAGCAUCGGCUAACUCCGUGCCAGCAGCCGCGGUAAUACGGAGGAUGCGAGCGUUAUCCGGAUUUAUUGGGUUUAAAGGGUGCGUAGGCGGCACGCCAAGUCAGCGGUGAAAUUUUCGGGCUCAACCCGGACUGUGCCGUUGAAACUGGCGAGCUAGAGUGCACAAGAGGCAGGCGGAAUGCGUGGUGUAGCGGUGAAAUGCAUAGAUAUCACGCAGAACCCCGAUUGCGAAGGCAGCCUGCUAGGGUGCGACAGACGCUGAGGCACGAAAGCGUGGGUAUCGAACAGGAUUAGAUACCCUGGUAGUCCACGCAGUAAACGAUGAAUACUAACUGUUUGCGAUACAAUGUAAGCGGUACAGCGAAAGCGUUAAGUAUUCCACCUGGGGAGUACGCCGGCAACGGUGAAACUCAAAGGAAUUGACGGGGGCCCGCACAAGCGGAGGAACAUGUGGUUUAAUUCGAUGAUACGCGAGGAACCUUACCCGGG
rnacentral:rRNA from 1 species